CGGACACUUGCGGCCAUGGAGCGAAACUGCGCAUUACGAAGACACUCAGGGAAUGCUGCUGGGAAUAUGUGGGCAACUUUUGCCAAGAAGUGGAACCAAUCUACCAUGGUUAAUGAAGAUGCAUGUUGGACUAUAUUACCUAUUCUAUUUCAAUGGGCUGAGCAUUUUUCUCUUCUAUUCCUUCCUUCAAUUCGAAUUUUUGUAUCAGCAUGUUAUGUAUUUGCUAGUGUUGCACGAUGAAAAAAGUAAA